AUCCCAUGAUGAGGACACUUAUGAAGUAGCUCAUUGAAUCUUUCCCACGCCUCGUACAGGGGCUCAUCACCUAAUUGUUGGAAAGUAGUAAUCUCAUUUUGCAACAU
rfam:Gossypium raimondii chromosome 11, whole genome shotgun sequence.